UAAGCGACUAAGCGUACACGGUGGAUGCCCUGGCAGUCAGAGGCGAUGAAGGACGUGCUAAUCUGCGAUAAGCGUCGGUAAGGUGAUAUGAACCGUUAUAACCGGCGAUUUCCGAAUGGGGAAACCCAGUGUGUUUCGACACACUAUCAUUAACUGAAUCCAUAGGUUAAUGAGGCGAACCGGGGGAACUGAAACAUCUAAGUACCCCGAGGAAAAGAAAUCAACCGAGAUUCCCCCAGUAGCGGCGAGCGAACGGGGAGCAGCCCAGAGCCUGAAUCAGUGUGUGUGUUAGUGGAAGCGUCUGGAAAGGCGCGCGAUACAGGGUGACAGCCCCGUACACAAAAAUGCACAUGCUGUGAGCUCGAUGAGUAGGGCGGGACACGUGGUAUCCUGUCUGAAUAUGGGGGGACCAUCCUCCAAGGCUAAAUACUCCUGACUGACCGAUAGUGAACCAGUACCGUGAGGGAAAGGCGAAAAGAACCCCGGCGAGGGGAGUGAAAAAGAACCUGAAACCGUGUACGUACAAGCAGUGGGAGCACGCUUAGGCGUGUGACUGCGUACCUUUUGUAUAAUGGGUCAGCGACUUAUAUUCUGUAGCAAGGUUAACCGAAUAGGGGAGCCGAAGGGAAACCGAGUCUUAACUGGGCGUUAAGUUGCAGGGUAUAGACCCGAAACCCGGUGAUCUAGCCAUGGGCAGGUUGAAGGUUGGGUAACACUAACUGGAGGACCGAACCGACUAAUGUUGAAAAAUUAGCGGAUGACUUGUGGCUGGGGGGGAAAGGCCAAUCAAACCGGGAGAUAGCUGGUUCUCCCCGAAAGCUAUUUAGGUAGCGCCUCGUGAAUUCAUCUCCGGGGGUAGAGCACUGUUUCGGCAAGGGGGUCAUCCCGACUUACCAACCCGAUGCAAACUGCGAAUACCGGAGAAUGUUAUCACGGGAGACACACGGCGGGUGCUAACGUCCGUCGUGAAGAGGGAAACAACCCAGACCGCCAGCUAAGGUCCCAAAGUCAUGGUUAAGUGGGAAACGAUGUGGGAAGGCCCAGACAGCCAGGAUGUUGGCUUAGAAGCAGCCAUCAUUUAAAGAAAGCGUAAUAGCUCACUGGUCGAGUCGGCCUGCGCGGAAGAUGUAACGGGGCUAAACCAUGCACCGAAGCUGCGGCAGCGACGCUGAUGCGUUGUUGGGUAGGGGAGCGUUCUGUAAGCCUGCGAAGGUGUGCUGUGAGGCAUGCUGGAGGUAUCAGAAGUGCGAAUGCUGACAUAAGUAACGAUAAAGCGGGUGAAAAGCCCGCUCGCCGGAAGACCAAGGGUUCCUGUCCAACGUUAAUCGGGGCAGGGUGAGUCGACCCCUAAGGCGAGGCCGAAAGGCGUAGUCGAUGGGAAACAGGUUAAUAUUCCUGUACUUGGUGUUACUGCGAAGGGGGGACGGAGAAGGCUAUGUUGGCCGGGCGACGGUUGUCCCGGUUUAAGCGUGUAGGCUGGUUUUCCAGGCAAAUCCGGAAAAUCAAGGCUGAGGCGUGAUGACGAGGCACUACGGUGCUGAAGCAACAAAUGCCCUGCUUCCAGGAAAAGCCUCUAAGCAUCAGGUAACAUCAAAUCGUACCCCAAACCGACACAGGUGGUCAGGUAGAGAAUACCAAGGCGCUUGAGAGAACUCGGGUGAAGGAACUAGGCAAAAUGGUGCCGUAACUUCGGGAGAAGGCACGCUGAUAUGUAGGUGAAGUCCCUUGCGGAUGGAGCUGAAAUCAGUCGAAGAUACCAGCUGGCUGCAACUGUUUAUUAAAAACACAGCACUGUGCAAACACGAAAGUGGACGUAUACGGUGUGACGCCUGCCCGGUGCCGGAAGGUUAAUUGAUGGGGUUAGCGCAAGCGAAGCUCUUGAUCGAAGCCCCGGUAAACGGCGGCCGUAACUAUAACGGUCCUAAGGUAGCGAAAUUCCUUGUCGGGUAAGUUCCGACCUGCACGAAUGGCGUAAUGAUGGCCAGGCUGUCUCCACCCGAGACUCAGUGAAAUUGAACUCGCUGUGAAGAUGCAGUGUACCCGCGGCAAGACGGAAAGACCCCGUGAACCUUUACUAUAGCUUGACACUGAACAUUGAGCCUUGAUGUGUAGGAUAGGUGGGAGGCUUUGAAGUGUGGACGCCAGUCUGCAUGGAGCCGACCUUGAAAUACCACCCUUUAAUGUUUGAUGUUCUAACGUUGACCCGUAAUCCGGGUUGCGGACAGUGUCUGGUGGGUAGUUUGACUGGGGCGGUCUCCUCCUAAAGAGUAACGGAGGAGCACGAAGGUUGGCUAAUCCUGGUCGGACAUCAGGAGGUUAGUGCAAUGGCAUAAGCCAGCUUGACUGCGAGCGUGACGGCGCGAGCAGGUGCGAAAGCAGGUCAUAGUGAUCCGGUGGUUCUGAAUGGAAGGGCCAUCGCUCAACGGAUAAAAGGUACUCCGGGGAUAACAGGCUGAUACCGCCCAAGAGUUCAUAUCGACGGCGGUGUUUGGCACCUCGAUGUCGGCUCAUCACAUCCUGGGGCUGAAGUAGGUCCCAAGGGUAUGGCUGUUCGCCAUUUAAAGUGGUACGCGAGCUGGGUUUAGAACGUCGUGAGACAGUUCGGUCCCUAUCUGCCGUGGGCGCUGGAGAACUGAGGGGGGCUGCUCCUAGUACGAGAGGACCGGAGUGGACGCAUCACUGGUGUUCGGGUUGUCAUGCCAAUGGCACUGCCCGGUAGCUAAAUGCGGAAGAGAUAAGUGCUGAAAGCAUCUAAGCACGAAACUUGCCCCGAGAUGAGUUCUCCCUGACCCUUUAAGGGUCCUGAAGGAACGUUGAAGACGACGACGUUGAUAGGCCGGGUGUGUAAGCGCAGCGAUGCGUUGAGCUAACCGGUACUAAUGAACCGUGAGGCUUAACCU
rnacentral:rRNA from 1 species